AAAAAAAAACAAAGAGAACAAUUUACUGACANUACGAAUGCACCNGAUGAGUAUUGAUCCAUAGGACUCAGAGUGACACGCUGGCGUUAACGGCACAUAACACAUGNCAAUACGAACGAGAAGCAAAGAAGGAGAAUGACCCUUGAGUGUAGCGAGAUGGACGAGACGGNUGAGGAAAUAACAACGGGAAUCAACANAGAACAGAAGGGAGGAAACAACGACAGGAAAAUACGAC
rnacentral:rRNA from 1 species